rnacentral:lncRNA from 1 species
CUGAGAAAGAAUUUUGAACGUGGCUUGCAUCACUUCUAAAUAUAAGUACUUGUAACUGAAAAGUAUGAUGCUAUGUGUUCUUCAGUCUUCCACAUGCUGAUCACUUACUGCUGUGGAACAGGUUCCUCUAUGGGGUCCUGCUCUUGAGAGCUGAGGAGAAGAGGCAGGAGUUAAGAAACAGCCAAUGGGGUUGUGUGCUGGGAGGACCACGCCCCAGGCGUCUGCCACGUGUGCCAGCAGCAGCUGGGAGAGGUAGCGGUGCGCACGCUCAUCCCAGUGGACGCCAUCACUCAGCCGGUGCUGCCCUGCAUGGCGGAAGUGGAAGUGGAGAUCCAGCACGUCGAAGCCACGCCUCACUGCCUCUGCUGAGCUGUAGAAGUUGGCCUCUAUCACGUCUUCGCGCAGGCGUGAAGGGCAGGCCGGGGCAUCAGGCAGGACAAAGCCCCCGGAUACGACUUCG